rnacentral:rRNA from 2 species
GGUCCAGACUUUGAUCAUGGCUCAGGAUGAACGCUAGCUACAGGCUUAACACAUGCAAGUCGAGGGGCAGCGGGAUUGAAGCUUGCUUCAAUUGCCGGCGACCGGCGCACGGGUGAGUAACGCGUAUCCAACCUUCCGUACACUCAGGGAUAGCCUUUCGAAAGAAAGAUUAAUACCUGAUAGUAUCUUAAGCACACAUGUAAUUAAGAUUAAAGAUUUAUCGGUGUACGAUGGGGAUGCGUUCCAUUAGGUAGUAGGCGGGGUAACGGCCCACCUAGCCAACGAUGGAUAGGGGUUCUGAGAGGAAGGUCCCCCACAUUGGAACUGAGACACGGUCCAAACUCCUACGGGAGGCAGCAGUGAGGAAUAUUGGUCAAUGGACGAGAGUCUGAACCAGCCAAGUAGCGUGAAGGAUGAAGGUCCUACGGAUUGCAAACUUCUUUUAUAAGGGAAUAAACCCUCCCACGUGUGGGAGCUUGUAUGUACCUUGUGAAUAAGCAUCGGCUAACUCCGUGCCAGCAGCCGCGGUAAUACGGAGGAUGCGAGCGUUAUCCGGAUUUAUUGGGUUUAAAGGGAGCGCAGACGGGUCGUUAAGUCAGCUGUGAAAGUUUGGGGCUCAACCUUAAAAUUGCGGUUGAUACUGGCGUCCUUGAGUGCGGUUGAGGUGUGCGGAAUUCGUGGUGUAGCGGUGAAAUGCUUAGAUAUCACGAAGAACUCCGAUUGCGAAGGCAGCACACUAAUCCGUAACUGACGUUCAUGCUCGAAAGUGUGGGUAUCAAACAGGAUUAGGUACCCUGGUAGUCCACACGGUAAACGAUGGAUACUCGCUGUUGGCGAUAUACUGUCAGCGGCUUAGCGAAAGCGUUAAGUAUCCCACCUGGGGAGUACGCCGGCAACGGUGCAACUCAAAGGAAUUGACGG